rnacentral:rRNA from 1 species
UACGGAGGGAGCUAGCGUUGUUCGGAAUUACUGGGCGUAAAGCGCGCGUAGGCGGCUUUGUAAGUUAGAGGUGAAAGCCUGGGGCUCAACUCCAGAACUGCCUUUAAAACUGCAUCGCUUGAAUCCAGGAGAGGUGAGUGGAAUUCCGAGUGUAGAGGUGAAAUUCGUAGAUAUUCGGAAGAACACCAGUGGCGAAGGCGGCUCACUGGACUGGUAUUGACGCUGAGGUGCGAAAGCGUGGGGAGCAAACAGG